GGUGUCCUGCAUCGACUACCUCAACGACAACAGGGUCAGGGCGCCGAUGGCCGCCUGCUGCGGCGACUUCAGGAAGCUCGUCGACGAGGCGCCCGUCUGCCUCUGCCACGCCACGGACGGCGGCGACGUCAACCAGAUGAUGCCGGAGCCGAUCAACGUCGGCCGCCUAAUGACGGCCCUCCCGGUCGCCUGCAACGUCCCGCUGCCGAUGAAUACUCUCGCCAAAUGCUACACUGAACUAGUGCCGCCAUUGACAACUGUCCCUUCUACUAAUCAUUAAUUAGUUACAGAUCACCAGUGUGGGCAUCACCGUAAGUGCAAGACGACGGCGCACUUUUGUUAUCAAGAUUUAGUUACUGCUGGCUACAAGCUCCAAAUUAACGUACCUAUAGAGAAGUUUAGUUCAAGUACACUUCGUACUCCCCUCUCUAAACGUUUAACACAGUUGACUUUUUUAAUACACG